CUGCUAUCGGAUGAUACUAAGCCAUGCGAGUCUUUGUAGUAAUACAAGGCAGACGGCUCAGUAACACGUAGUCAACCUACUCUAUGGACAAGAAUAAUCUCGGGAAACUGGGCAUAAUUCUUGAUAGAUCAUAAUGCCUGGAAUGGUUUAUGGUUAAAAUGAUUCGUCGCCAUAGGAUGGGACUGCGGCCUAUCAGCUUGUUGGUGAGGUAAUGGCCCACCAAGGCGAUUACAGGUACGGGCUCUGAGAGGAGAAGCCCGGAGAUGGGUACUGAGACACGGACCCAGGCCCUAUGGGGCGCAGCAGGCGAGAAAACUUUGCAAUGUGCGAAAGCACGACAAGGUUAAUCCGAGUGAUUUCUGCUAAAGAAAUCUUUUGCCAGUCAUAAAACCACUGGUGAAUAAGGGGUGGGCAAGUUCUGGUGUCAGCCGCCGCGGUAAAACCAGCACCUCAAGUGGUCAGGAUGAUUAUUGGGCCUAAAGCAUCCGUAGCCGGCUUUGUUAGUUUUCGGUUAAAUCCAUGUGCUCAACGCAUGGGCUGCCGAAAAUACUGCAUGGCUAGGGAGUGGGAGAGGUAGACGGUACUCAGUAGGAAGGGGUAAAAUCCUUUGAUCUAUUGAUGACCACCUGUGGCGAAGGCGGUCUACCAGAACACGUUCGACGGUGAGGGAUGAAAGCUGGGGGAGCAAACCGGAUUAGAUACCCGGGUAGUCCCAGCUGUAAACGAUGCAGACUCGAUGAUGCAUUGGCAUAAUAGCCAGUGCAGUGUCGCAGGGAAGCCGUUAAGUCUGCCGCCUGGGAAGUACGUACGCAAGUAUGAAACUUAAAGGAUUGGCGGGGGAGCACCACAAAGGGUGAAGCCUGCGGUUCA
rnacentral:rRNA from 1 species